AGCCUUGGCACACCUUCGUGUGCUUCUCUAGAUUUGCAUUCUAGCGUGAAUCACUACAAGAC
rnacentral:tRNA from 1 species